UAUUGUUAGAAGCUAUGAAUGGGGAAACUAGAAAAGCGUAAGACAUCUACUUUGCGGCGCAAUCUUCGAGAUGAUGCCGAAGCUUUGGAUCUGCCUAAUAAUUAAAUCCCAAGAAUUGUGCGAUGAAUUAAGGCCUUAUAAGUCGCAAACACGCAGGAGAAAUAAAAAUUUGUGUUGAGUGUAAAGUGAGUAAAGCUAUUUUGUUAUUUCUGUUCCUAUAUACAUUGUCUAAUAAAUUUAUAAAUAGUCUUUACGAUUACAUUUUCCAUAAAAGGUGCUAACAGUACUCUCCUUCACUAUAGGCUCAUAUCAAAAACCUGCAGGUAUGAGCUAGUCACAUGUUCUGAGCCAAGCUAAUGUGUCAAAUUUAGUAAAUAAGGUGAUGAAAGCUCUAAAUUCGAGAGACAUUUUGAUGAGAUAUAUUUGUUUCCCUCAGUCAUGGCAGCAAAGAAAUAAUGACAUAUAUGGGUAUGGUCCUAAUUAUAUAAAAUUGUAUUUAAUUUAAAGUAAAAUUUACAAACUUCAUUUCUUUCAGUUUUUCAAACAAUAUUUGGCUGUGUGGGUUGCAUUGAUUAACAUGCUGAAUAUUUUUUUAAUGGAAAGGAUUACCACAGUAUAAAUGUUCAAGUUAUAUGUUACAGUGAUUCAAAUAUAAUUAAUGUGGAUGCAUCAUUUAGUGGGGUGAGUCAUGAUGCAUAUAUCUGGAGAAACUGUGAAAUGCAGGCUCAAUUACAAAACUUACACAGUAGAGGAGAAAGGAUCUGGUUAUUAGGGGACUUGGGGCAUCCAUUAAUGACAUGGCUUUCAAAUCCAAUUGUGAAUGCAGAAAAUGGUUCCGCAGAACAUUAUACCAAUAUUUACUACAGCUUCGCCAGGAAUAUGAUUGAGCAUUACAUUGGAGUAUUAAAGCAUGUUGGAAAGUUUGCUAGCCACAGUGUUGGAUUAUGAUCAUCAUAAUAUGGUAGCAAUAAUUACCAAUGCCUGUGUUGUUUUGUACAUCUGCUACAGACUUAGACUGCUAGUUCCACCUUUGGCAAAUAAAGAUAUAGAAGAAGACAGUAAUAACUAGGUGUCAGCUCCAUCACAAUCUGAUAAUAGGGAGCCUGAGGAGCUCCCAUUGUUAAGGGGCCAACAACACAGAAUUGUGCAAUGUUUGUAGUCGACUAGGAGAUAAUUUGAAUUUAAUUUUUGUAUUAAAUUAUUAAUCAAAUUCUAAA